CGUGAGGACACAGCUAGAAGGGCGGUCAACUGCAAGCCAGGAAGAGACAGUGCCCCCUGCCCUUGGAACCUGCUGCCACGACAAAGCACCACAGACUGGGGGGUGUCAACAACAGAAAUUUAUUUUCUUGCAGUCCUGGAGGCUGGAAGUCCGAGAUCAAGGUGUCGGCAGGUAUGUUCCUGGCGGUCUUGGGUAUCACAGUAAUUUGCUGCUGAAGAAGGGAAGCAGGAAUUCUUGGUGGACUUGAGGGAAGGAGGAAGGGGGGGCGGCUUCCCAAGGAUUCCCAUGAGACAAAGAGCCAUCAAACUGGCACAGCUUGGGAAGGAGAAGAAAGAAAGGAGUGUCUAUCUCAGAGACUGGCCAAAGAGAGCAAGAACCCCAUCUGGGAGACCACAGGACAUUUAAGCUCCUGAGGCUAGCCUUGGCUCUGACGGUUUCUCAGCCUUUCCUUGUUUUGGAUGAACCUGGCAGUGUUGAAGAGGACUGGUCAGUAUGAAAAAUUUCAAACAGACAAAAAAGUUGAAAGAAUGUUACAGUGAAAAAAAACAAAUAAUCUAAUUAUAAAAUGGUCAAAGGACCUGAACAGACAAGUUUCCGAAGAAGAUAUUCAGAUGGCAAACAGGUACAUGAAAAGGUGAGAGUACGCUUACAGAAGUGAGGGGUUUUUAUUGAUGCGACUGACCAUGAUUUGUAACUGAUCAUUAUUUGUAAAAUGCUGCGCAAACACUAGCGACCUCUGCACAGACACGAAGGUUCCUCCUAAAGGUAAAGGGAUCGUUAUGCUGUGGGGUGAUAUAACACUAUGAGCGGCAUUCUACUGGAUGUCGCUGUUCAGCCGAGCUCUGUUGGGCCGCCUGUGCGAGCAGCGCGGUACCUGCGCGGGGGCCGCAGGUGGGAGCCGCCACCGAGGGGGCGCGGGGAGCCCGA